AAUGUACACUAUUUGUUUCUUUUUAAUGUAUAUAAAAGCAUUAUUUUUAUUGAGAAAUGAAUUGCAUAUUCACAAACUGUUUCUAUUGCAGAUCGUGAUGCUUACCCUAUACAGGAGUCAGGAAGAAACGAUCACGAUCGAAAACGUAACCAAGAAGAUGCGGACUUACUGGUAGUCCAAAAUGGGAGAAAGAAGCCAAGAUACAUGUUAGGGGGCACGCAAAGAGAUGGCCACAACGACAAUGCAAGAAACAGGCUUCAAGCCCGCGCAUCAGCGGGACGUGAAGACAAUGGGAGACAUCUGCGUACGCCUGGCACAGAAAGAAGGCCGGUGAGGGACUGAUCCUGACAGUCAAGAUGACAUUAUCAUUCUUUUUGUUUGUAUGUUAAUGUCUGAAAAAAAUUAAAUGUGACUGGUG